GAUGAACGCUGGCGGCGUGCUUAACACAUGCAAGUCGAGCGAGUGAGUUCUUCGGAACGAUCUAGCGGCGGACGGGUGAGUAGCACGUGGGCAACCUGCCUCAUAGAGGGGAAUAGCCUCCCGAAAGGGAGAUUAAUACCGCAUAAAAUUAUCGAGUGGCAUCACAUGAUAAUCAAAGGAGUAAUCCGCUAUGAGAUGGGCCCGCGGCGCAUUAGCUAGUUGGUGAGGUAACGGCUCACCAAGGCGACGAUGCGUAGCCGACCUGAGAGGGUGAGCGGCCACAUUGGGACUGAGACACGGCCCAGACUCCUACGGGGGGCAGCAGUGGGGAAUAUUGCACAAUGGGGGAAACCCUGAUGCAGCAACGCCGCGUGAGUGAUGAAGGUCUUCGGAUUGUAAAGCUCUGUCUUUGGGGACGAUAAUGACGGUACCCAAGGAGGAAGCCACGGCUAACUACGUGCCAGCAGCCGCCGUAA
rnacentral:rRNA from 1 species